rnacentral:rRNA from 1 species
UACAGAGGUCUCAAGCGUUGUUCGGAUUCAUUGGGCGUAAAGGGUGCGCAGGCGGUUCUGCAAGUCAGGCGUGAAAGCCCCGGGCUUAACCUGGGAAUGGCGCUUGAAACUACAGGACUGGAGUAUGGCAGAGGGAGGUGGAAUUCCACGUGUAGCGGUGAAAUGCGUAGAGAUGUGGAGGAACACCGAUGGCGAAGGCAGCCUCCUGGGCCAAUACUGACGCUCAUGCACGAAAGCGUGGGGAGCAAACAGG